rnacentral:rRNA from 1 species
AUUGAACGCUGGCGGCAUGCUUUACACAUGCAAGUCGAACGGUAACAGGCCGCAAGGUGCUGACGAGUGGCGAACGGGUGAGUAAUGCAUCGGAACGUGCCCAGUCGUGGGGGAUAACUAUCCGAAAGGAUAGCUAAUACCGCAUACGAUCUGCGGAUGAAAGCGGGGGACCUUCGGGCCUCGCGCGAUUGGAGCGGCCGAUGUCAGAUUAGGUAGUUGGUGGGGUAAAGGCUCACCAAGCCAACGAUCUGUAGCUGGUCUGAGAGGACGACCAGCCACACUGGGACUGAGACACGGCCCAGACUCCUACGGGAGGCAGCAGUGGGGAAUGUUGGACAAUGGGCGCAAGCCUGAUCCAGCAAUGCCGAGUGCAGGAAGAAGGCCUUCGGGUUGUAAACUGCUUUUGUAAGGAAAGAAACGGCUCUGGUUAAUACCUGGGGCUAAUGACGGUACCGUAAGAAUAAGCACCGGCUAACUACGUGCCAGCAGCCGCCGUAA